rnacentral:rRNA from 1 species
UGGGGAAACCCAGUGUGAUUCGUCACACUAUCAUUAACUGAAUCCAUAGGUUAAUGAGGCGAACCGGGGGAACUGAAACAUCUAAGUACCCCGAGGAAAAGAAAUCAACCGAGAUUCCCCCAGUAGCGGCGAGCGAACGGGGAGGAGCCCAGAGCCUGAAUCAGCAUGUGUGUUAGUGGAAGCGUCUGGAAAGGCGCGCGAUACAGGGUGACAGCCCCGUACACAAAAGCGCAUGUGCUGUGAGCUCGAUGAGUAGGGCGGGACACGUGGUAUCCUGUCUGAAUAUGGGGGGACCAUCCUCCAAGGCUAAAUACUCCUGACUGACCGAUAGUGAACCAGUACCGUGAGGGAAAGGCGAAAAGAACCCCGGCGAGGGGAGUGAAAAAGAACCUGAAACCGU